AUGCCUUAUUGGUCCAUUCCUGCAUCUCUGCUUCCAGAAGCCAAGAACAAGUUCUCUGGAUCACAUAGGCUCCUCUGCUGCUUCCUCAGAAACAGGGAAGGUACUUGGUGCCGAAGAAAGAGACAGAGACUGGGAAGGAGAAGGAAGUCAGCAGAAAGAAGAAAGACACACAGGAAAGAGAGAAGGGUAGCUAAAAGAAAGAGUCAGGGAGAUGGUUCCAGGAGAAGAAAAGAAAGUCAGUUGCUUUCUGAGAUCAGGUGGGAAGUUUAUCCUGUCAACUCCACCUUUAGAGUGCU
rnacentral:lncRNA from 1 species